UACGGAGGGUGCAAGCGUUAUCCGGAUUCACUGGGUUUAAAGGGUGCGUAGGUGGGUUGGUAAGUCAGUGGUGAAAUCUCCAGGCUUAACUUGGAAACUGCCAUUGAUACUAUCAAUCUUGAAUAUCGUGGAGGUCAGCGGAAUAUGUCAUGUAGCGGUGAAAUGCUUAGAUAUGACAUAGAACACCAAUUGCGAAGGCAGCUGGCUACACGAAUAUUGACACUGAUGCACGAAAGCGUGGGGAGCGAUCCGG
rnacentral:rRNA from 1 species